AUGAAGCGCAAAAGCGAAAAGAGGCGACCUGAGUCGAUGAAAAAGCGCCGUGCAGCUCAGAAAGAGGAGGCGGAGCUAAAGUCAGAUAUUCACAUUAGUGUAUCAGAUCAACUGUAUUUCGCAGUACUGCAGCAGAAGAUAAAAAGCACAGCUGACAGACAUUGCUUCUGCAUAGAUGAUGAGCUGUCAUAUGAAAACUUCUAUGCAGACUUUGGCCCGCUCAACCUGGCCAUGUUUUAUCACUUCUGUUGCAAGCUCACUAAAAAGCUCAAGUCAUGCACACUAGCGAAGAAGAAGAUAGUCUUCUACACCUGUGGAGAUCAAAAGAAACAAGCCAACGCUGCUUAUCUUAUUGGUUCAUAUGCAGUGAUGCAUCUUCAGAAGACGCCAGAGGAAGCCUACAGUCUACUGGUGUCCAGGAACUCUACCUACUUACCCUUCAGAGAUGCCUCUUUUGGAACCUGCAUGUACAAUCUGAACAUUCUAGACUGCCUGUGCGCCGUAUACAAGGCUUUGCAGUUUGGCUGGCUUGAUUUCUCCCAGUUUGAUGUGGAGGAAUACGAACAUUACGAGAGAGCAGAAAAUGGAGAUUUCAACUGGAUAAUUCCUGGAAAAUUCCUAGCGUUCAGCGGUCCUCAUCCAAAAAGCAAAAUGGAGAACGGUUACCCUCUUCAUGCCCCCGAGGCCUACUUUCCUUACUUCACGAAACACAAUAUCACAACCAUCGUCCGUCUCAACAAGAAGAUGUAUGACGCAAAGCGUUUCACCGACAUGGGCUUCGAGCACCACGACCUCUUCUUCGUGGACGGGAGCACGCCAAACGACUCCAUUGUCAGGAAGUUCCUCAACAUCUGUGAGAACGCAGACGGAGCUAUCGCUGUUCACUGCAAAGCUGGUCUGGGUCGAACAGGCACCCUGAUAGGCUGCUACAUGAUGAAGCACUACCGCCUGACUGCGGCUGAGGCCAUCGCCUGGAUGCGUAUCUGCCGGCCCGGAUCAGUCAUCGGACCACAACAAAACUUUGUGGAAGAUAAGCAGAGCAGUCUGUGGUCCGAGGGCGACGUGUUCCGGGAGAAAAUGAACGAGCAGGAAAACGGCAAGCUGGCGGUCACCAGGAUCCUGUCGGGGGUUGAUGACAUCACCAUCAACGGCAGCAACAAGAACAAGAUGUCCAAGAAAGAAGAGGCGGAACUGUAUAAUGAUGAUGAGGAGAUGAACGGCAUCACGCAGGGUGAUAAACUGCGAGCCCUGAAAAGCAAGAGACAGGCCAGAGCAUCCACAGGCUCCCUAUCACAAGAAGAAAAAAACAUCCACAGCAGGUCAUCGCAGUCUUUAAGGAUUCUCCUUCAGUCCAGUGGGCAGAGCUAUAAAGCUGUGGUGAACCCCUCCCAUCUCCCUGAUGCCUCUGAGAAAAGGAAGAGAACCAGAACCUCACUGCCUGCCAAUAGUGUGGGGGGCAGCUCCCUGUGCCACUCCAGACUAGCCAGGUCUCUAGACAGCAUGCAGGUAGUGGCCAGUGACAGAGAGCCAGUGUGCCGUGAGCCCAGUGGCUGCCGUAGAGACACAGUCAACCUGCCCAACAUAAACAUGCUGCAGGCCCCUCGGAAGGCAAGCCCCUCAACCUUUUCUCUGGGCUCAACCUCACUCUCUCCUACUCUGCGGGUCCCCCACACACCAAGGGUCUGCUUAACUUUACAUUUCAUAUGAGCAAACGCCUUCUAUAUCUGUUUGUACUCUAGGCUUCCGACACUCCGGCUCAAGCAAUUGAACAGUCUCUCCAGCUUUUUACACUCCCUACGUCUUUUUGCAUGUCCUACUGGAAUGGAUGAUGCAGGAGGAUGACUGGCUAUCACUUCUCUGGACUUUUACUGCUCACACUGUCUCCUUGCUUUCAGACCCCGACAACCUUUUGUUGGCUGUUGGCGAUUCUGCUGAGAAGUCAUUGGGGAAUCAAUCAUAUAACCCUUUCAUUUUUCUUUCACCCUUUUUUACUUUUUAAUUUCACUCCUAACAGACGCACUGUGUCCAGAAGACGGAGAACUCAAUGCUCUUUACAAUCAAUGCGCUUAACGAGACUAUGUCACUCCAUACCAAAAGCUAGAGCUCCUCUACUGCGCUGAGCCUGGGGUCACGGAAUUCUAAAAGAGUUCUACAGGAGUCCAGUCUACCCCACAGCUCCUGAAAAUUUAGAUUUUGUUUUCAUUUCUUAAAAGGGACUGGGUGUAUUUUUCUUGAACCAGUCCAGUCGAUUUUUGAUAAAGGGAUGAUGUUCGAUGAGGAAAUGAUGCAUCUGAUUGUGAAUGGGAAGAACGAGUUAUCAGAUAUGAUUGAAGAUGUAAACCAUGUUUGGUUGGUUUGGAAUUAAUUUGCCAACUCUCUUUAUCAAAAGGCACGUCUUUUAUUAUAUAUUUCACUGUUUAUUAUGGAACAAAAUUUAAAAAAGGUUGUGUGCAUCUUAAAAUGAAACCCUGUUCUCUAUACACUAGUCCUGGCCAUAAGUAGUGGAAAUAGUGUUCCAUUUCACACAUUCGUUGCCUGCUUGUUUACAUACUAGUAGAGGGUUGCCAUAGCAAUCCAGACUGAUCCUGAACCAUCAGACUGUCAAUCUGCUUGUUGGUGAAGGUCCUCCAGAGGUAGUCACCAUCCACUUUUCUUAACCUUUUGUAUGAUCUAGGUCAGGUCAUGUCCAGCUGUUUGGAAGUUGAGGUGUUUUGUAGAUGAAAUCAUUUGUGAAAAGCUCAUGUCGGCCCUCUUGAACAUGCACCAUGUCUACUCUAGGGGGUAUGCUCUUUGGGGAGCAUCUUUCAGAAUGUUAUAGACAGAUAUGUCAUGCACAGAAGUAAUACAAUGCCACCCUCUUUUCAAUAAUCGAUGGUUUGUCCAGAGUUGUAAAUCCUAAUUUCGCUUGUUGUAUUUCACUUGGCUCUAUUCAAUCCGUAUUGCGGAUGUUCAACGUUCCUGCUCGAUUGAAAUUGAAUGGCAACGUUCCCGCGUUAGCGGAGACUGCGUUCACGGUAAACUCUGCAUAUGUCCGUUCAAUCAGAAAUGAUCUUUACAUUUCUAGCUCUUCAGCGACGCAGACUGAAUAGCACCCUUAAUAUGCUCCAGCUUUCUUUCAUUCUCCAGUGACGCUUCCAGUCGGUUGUCUUUUUUGUUGUUGAGCUGCUGUACUUAAACUGUAAAUAAGUCAACAUUUUGAUAUACUGAAAAAUGUAUUUGUACUUUGUAAAUAUUUUUGUACUUGUUAUGAUCAACCAUGCUAUCAAUUGUAAUCAGUCUUACAUACAAAAUGGUCCUAAAGGGGCCUCAUCUCAUUCGUGAUUAUCGUGCAUUAUAUAUCUGCUUGGAGCACAUGGAGUAUACCAGCUUUCUAAAAUAAAAUGCCACCAAUUAUACUGAC